CGGAGACUUCCGAGGAGAGAAAAGGAGAGACCCAUCCGGCGUUGGCCGGUGAAGAGGAAGGCCAGUGCCUCGAACGGCACCGUCGACGCCACAUCCAUCCAAAACCACGACGCCAAAUACCUACCGCCAUCACCAACCACCAUACCUUAGGUGCAGCACCGGAAAAGUUGGCAGAAGUGGUGGGCCGCCGCCGGCGGUUCCCACUGGUGGCUGAAGUACUCUUCAGCUUACUUCAGCCGUGCCCGCAAACACAAGAUGUAUGAGAUAUAUAUAUGGCCAACUACUAGUUAAACAAAGCCCGGCCUGUGUACGUACCUGACGGCGAUCUUCCUGGGUUCGCAGACUAAGAGCUGAGUAGUGCGAUCAAUGUAGGCAACAAAGAAGGUUAAGACAAUAUCAACUGCAAAGAAGAGAUCAACGAUGUUGUCGGCGAUGCAUAAUCCUCUACUUGGAGAGUAAUUAAGGAAUGCCACCUCGAAGGGGUAUACCCACGCAGAGUAAAAGACUAAAAGCACCAUUAAUGUCUCCCAACACCUGCAUUUACAUGUACCCAUACCCAUAAAUUAAUUAUUAUACAUAAGUGGCACGAAAGUCGACACAUAGAGCCCAGAAAAGAAUAAGAUCUCAUGUAGCUAGCUACGUACGUACCUGUAUCUGGAGUCCAUUGGGGAGAUGAUUCUGCUGGUGGAAUCAGCCUGGUUCUGGGCAUAGUCAGUUGAAUCACCCAGAGGUGGGAGGAUUACUUUAGAGAGGUAUCUCAAGUCAUCG